rnacentral:piRNA from 1 species
UUCCUUACUGCCCAGUUUGUAUAUAGAGAC